rnacentral:rRNA from 1 species
UGGGGAAUCUUGGACAAUGGGCGCAAGCCUGAUCCAGCGACGCCGCGUGGGUGAUGAAGGCCUUCGGGUUGUAAAGCCCUUUCGCCGGGGACGAUGAUGACGGUACCCGGUAAAGAAGCACCGGCUAACUCCGUGCCAGCAGCCGCGGUAAGACGGAGGGUGCUAGCGUUGUUCGGAAUCACUGGGCGUAAAGGGCGCGUAGGCGGCUUUGCAAGUCGGGCGUGAAAGCCCAGGGCUCAACCCUGGAACUGCGCACGAAACUGUAAGGCUUGAGGCCGGAAGAGGGGAGUGGAAUACCCAGUGUAGAGGUGAAAUUCGUAGAUAUUGGGUGGAACACCGGUGGCGAAAGCGGCUCCCUGGUCCGGACCUGACGCUGAGGCGCGAAAGCGUGGGGAGCGAACAGGAUUAGAUACCCGCGUAGUCC